GACAGAGGGGGCAAGCGUUGCUCGGAAUUACUGGGCGUAAAGGGCGCGUAGGCGGGAUGGCAAGUCGGUCGUGAAAUCCCUCGGCUCAACCGAGGAACGUCGAUCGAUACUGCUGUUCUUGAGGAUUGCAGAGGAGACUGGAAUUCCCGGUGUAGCGGUGAAAUGUGUAGAGAUCGGGAGGAACACCGGUGGCGAAGGCGGGUCUCUGGGCAAUUCCUGACGCUGAGGCGCGGAAGCGUGGGGAGCAAACGGG
rnacentral:rRNA from 1 species